GAGAGUUAAACAGUACGUGAAAUUGUUGAAAGGGAAACGAUUGAAGCCAGUCGUACCUGCGGACAAUCAGCUUUUUGAGUGUGAUUAUGUGGAUUGUGAGGAGUUUAAUCACCCUCAUGUUUUACGUAUUCGUGCUCUUGGGUGUACUUGCCCGUGUGGUAGGUUAACAUCAAUUUUGGUGGUCAUAAAAUGACUGGGGGAAUGUAGCUUCGAUCUUGUAUUGAAGUGUUAUAGCCUUCGGUAGAUGUGAUGAUCGAGAUUGAGGAUUGCAACGGAUACCCUUUGGGGCUACCUGUCUGAUCUCUGAUCGUUGCUUUGGUGCCGAAAGCUUGCUUACGGUUAUCAAAGUCGAUGGUCAAUAGGUUAGAACGGGUUAAAUUCGUUAAGGAUGUUGACGUAAUGGCUUUAAACGA
rnacentral:rRNA from 1 species